GAUGAACGCUGGCGGCGUGCCUAAUACAUGCAAGUCGAGCGAACGGACGAGAAGCUUGCUUCUCUGAUGUUAGCGGCGGACGGGUGAGUAACACGUGGAUAACCUACCUAUAAGACUGGGAUAACUUCGGGAAACCGGAGCUAAUACCGGAUAAUAUUUUGAACCGCAUGGUUCAAAAGUGAAAGACGGUCUUGCUGUCACUUAUAGAUGGAUCCGCGCUGCAUUAGCUAGUUUGUAAGGUAACGGCUUACCAAGGCAACGAUGCAUUGCCGACCUGAGAGGGUGAUCGCCCACAACGGAACUGAAACAGGGUCCAAACUCCUACGGGAGGCAGCAGUAGGGAAACUUCCGGCAUGGGCGAAAGCCUGACGGAGCAACGCCGCGUGAGUGAUGAAGGUCUUCGGAUCGUAAAACUCUGUUAUUAGGGAAGAACAUAUGUGUAAGUAACUGUGCACAUCUUGACGGUAACUAAUCAGAAAGCCACGGCUAACUACGUG
rnacentral:rRNA from 1 species